rnacentral:tRNA from 1 species
GUCCUCGUAGUUUAAUGGAUAGAACGGCCCCCUCCUAAGGGGUCGGUACAGGUUCGAUUCCUGUCGGGG